GGGAUUAGAUACCCCACUAUAAAAAAUAAUUAAAUUAAUUUACUAAUAAAUGUAUAAUCAUUAAAAUUAAAUUAUAUGGCGGCUUUUCAUUCUUAUUAGAGAAAUUUGUAAUUUAAUUUGAUAAUCCACGAUAAGAUUUACUUAAGUUAAAUUUAUAUAUUGUUGUUUUUAUUUUUAUAUUAAAUAAUUUUAAAUUAAUAUUUAAUUUUUAAUAAUUAAUCAAAUCAAAAUGUAGUAUAUUUAAGAAUUUAUGAAUUAUAAUAAAUUUUAUUUUUGAAUAAUUAAAUUUUAAUAUUAAUUUGAAAGAGGAUUUAAAAGUAAAUUUAAUUAAUUAAUUAAAUUGAAAUUAGUUUUGAAAAGUGUACAAAUUGCCCGUCAAUUUCAUUAAUAUGGAAUAAGUCGUAACAUA
rnacentral:rRNA from 1 species